rnacentral:rRNA from 1 species
UACGUAGGGUGCGAGCGUUAAUCGGAAUUACUGGGCGUAAAGGGCUCGUAGGUGGCCAACUAAGUCAGACGUGAAAUCCCUCAGCUUAACUGGGGAACUGCGUCUGAUACUGGAUGGCUUGAGUUUGGGAGAGGGAUGUGGAAUUCCAGGUGUAGCGGUGAAAUGCGUAGAUAUCUGGAGGAACACCGGUGGCGAAGGCGGCAUCCUGGACCGGUAUUGACGCUGAUGCGCGAAAGCCAGGGGAGCAAACGGG